UACAGAGGUCUCAAGCGUUGUUCGGAUUCAUUGGGCGUAAAGGGUGCGUAGGCGGCGCGGUAAGUCGGGUGUGAAAUCUCGGAGCUUAACUCCGAAACUGCAUUCGAUACUGCCGUGCUUGAGGACUGGAGAGGAGACUGGAAUUUACGGUGUAGCGGUGAAAUGCGUAGAUAUCGGAAGGAACACCUGUGGCGAAAGCGGCUCACUGGACCACAACUGACGCUGAUGCACGAAAGCUAGGGGGAGCAAACAGG
rnacentral:rRNA from 1 species